AAUUCUAUCUUUUGACUAGUAUAUCAAUCUUUAGCUAAAGAGCUCCACAUUGAACUAGUCAUUUAAAAUUUAUAUAAUAAUAUUAUAUUAUAUAUUUUAAUAGAUCCUUGCGGAAGGAAGUUUUUCUCACACCAAACCAUAGUCAUUCAUUUAUUGAGAAAACUAGCCGUCCAUGGUCCAAAAUCCAUUGGCUCUCAACAAAAUAUAUAAUAUAUAUUAUAUUAAUAAGCACUUGCAGGUGGUGUCCCUUUCUCUUUCUUAAACUCUAGCUUUUAGAUAGAGGCGAUCUUCGAGUUUCAUCCAUGGCUUCAAAGCAGAUCUGGGUUGGAGCUCAAAGAUCUCCAGAUGAAAGAUCCUCCUCCUAACUCUUGCAGUACUGGCUUGAUCUGUGGCUUGAUUUGUGAUGUUUCUAGUUUUUGAAGAUCUGGGUUAUGAUCCGUGAUGGUGUUUGGGGAUGAAGAAAGAAAAAAUACCAGAGAAAGAGAGACGGGCUAUUAGACGAAAAAUGAUAAAAUAGUCUUUUGAUCCCUCUACAGGAGCUCGCCAACAAUGGCCAGGAAACUAAUUUACUGUAAUACAAAGUUAAAAUAGCGUGAAUUUAGCUAGUCUGAUGUGGAAGUUUUUUUUGAUAAUAUAGUCAAAUUAUAGACUUGCAUUGGCAUUUGGCUAAUCCAUUGCCAAGUACUCUUAGAUCUCU